rnacentral:lncRNA from 1 species
CAGCUAGUCCAAUUUUGUCACCACCAAAAAACUUCUUGUCUCCAAGCCCAUGCUCCUCUAUUGUUUUCAAAAUUUCAAGGUUGUUGUUGAUCGCCUUUUCCUGUUCUUCCCCGAAUUUAUGAUAGAAUUCCCACAUAGUUCGAAUCUGUAAAAAUAUAAUCAUAAGGUUAAUUAGGAUCAAAUAUCAAUCCUGGAUUGAAACAGGCAUGAACCUACUUUUGAAAAUAAAAUAGAAUAAAAGCAUUUGUGAUUGAAAAAAUAGUAAGAUCAAUUAAAGACUGAGGACAAAAAUGAUGAAACAUUUAGGAGUUGAGUUAUGAUUGUUAUGAGAUAGGUAGCAACUCUUUUAAUUAAAUUGCUCAGUUCUGACUAUUUUUGAAGAACAAAAUACGUAUAACAAUACCUUUUCAUCUGUGAAUUUGGCCCAAAACCGGGCGACAGAUCUCUCAUGAACAUCUUUUGGAAGCAGGGGAUUCUUUGGCCACACCUCAUCAAUGUAUUCAAGAAUAACCAAUGACUCUGCAAUUGGUUUUCCUCCGUGAACAAGCACUGGAAUCUUCUUGUGAACAGGAUUGUACUGUAGCAGCAAGUGGCUCUUAUUAUUGGGGAGAUUUUCCUCUAUGUAUUCAUAAUUCACACCCUUUAACUUUAGAGCCCAAAUCGGCUAAAAGGACUUGGCCAAAAUCCAAAGAGCUUCACUUCAUCCAUGCUGUGAUCUCUACUUAGUGUUGGUGGCCUUUAUAUACUUGUUGGAGUGGUGACAGGGAAUGAUACACAGUUUUCCUCAGACAAAGUAGUAAUGUACAAAUUAUAUUCUGUGGAUCAGGUAAAUUAUGUAAUCAUGUGCGUCACGGGUGAUGCAUCUGAAUGACUGCUUGCUGCAAAAAAUUUGUAAAACUGUGUUCUGGGAUUGUGUGAAGUUUCCAAGGAAGAAAGCCAACUUUAGAUGAUCAGCCUAUCCGCUCUCAAAAUAUAUACUUCUGUCUCUUAGGUUUCAGUAGUUUCUUACUUUGACUUCAAUGAUGAAAUUAAAAAUUGUUUUCCAUGAAGAACUUUGAGAUAGAAUGGGAAGCAAUUUUAGUGCUCCAAAGUUGCAAAGCACGUCACCCAUGAUGCAUUCGAAUUAGUUGGAUUUGGCAUACGUCUUUCAGGUCAGAAAGAAAACUCUGAUCGUCCCUUCAAAUUUUUGAAACUUAGGAAGAAGAUAUGAACUGGCCAAUGAGUAUACAAUUUGAUUUAGGUUUAGUUCAAUGAACAACUAUGCAGAUAUCAACAGACUUCUUUCUUUUCCUCUUACCCUUUUUGUUUUCCCAUUUUGCUGUCAAUGUCAAGAACCACUCCAACUAAAAGGUUCAAAAUAUUAUGGAAGAGUUUGAAAAGAAAAAGUUGUAAGAGAAGGAUUUCAAGAUAAGAUCUUCAUUUUCAAAGAAAUGUACAGCAAUUAUGGCCAAGUAAUACCUCAAAUCAGAAUGGAAGACUCUUACAGCAUACAGUCUGUAUGGUAACAAAUUGAAGUUAUACGAGAAUCAUUGGAGAGUUAAAGGUGGUGAAGUAGUUGUUUUUUCCUUUGGCUUCAACUGAAGCUAAGCUAUUCUAUCAUGGGGCUGUAUAAUGGGUAGUUCAGCAAAUUAACUUUAAUUUCCUGGAGUCCUAGGUCUCAAAUCUCUUCUGCAAUUUGCACCAAGUGAGUUCUGUUUAAACUUACCAUUCAGAAAAUCUCUCUGAGGAUAAAUAAUCAUCUAGUAAGUCUUGAUGAGUCUAUUUUGUUGCGAUAUUAGCCCAAAAGUUAUUAAUCGAAUCAAAAGGUUUGUUGUUUGGAUUAAUUAAGAUUCCAUUACAUAGUACCACACCAGGUAAUCAAUGCAGAGACACAACAUUGUCUCAUUUUGCUAAUAACCAUAACAUGAUAAUGAAACAUAGAGAAUAUUAAAAGGCAACGCUCCUGAUGCUAGUUUCAUUUAGACGCCAGCAACAUCUCUGCGACGCUUUAACAAAGGAAACAUUUUAUCACGAUCAGGGAGGUUUUCUUUAAUUAUGAGAACUUCCUUGAAAUUUUGGACCCAUGACUGCAAACGAGGGAACUCGUGUGCUUCAGAUAUUUUUAGGCCUGCUGCAUCUUCAAUAACUCCCAGCCAGUAAGCAACUGCACCAAAUGCCAUGUCCACCAUGCUAAUCUUGUCUCCCCCAAAGAAUUUCUUCCCUCCAAUCAGGCCAUGUUCUUCAAUGGUUUCUAACAUUUCCAAGAUGUCCUUUACUGCCGUCUCCUGCUCUUCGCUGCUGGUUCGAGACAUCUUUGAGAUUGAAGGACUCUGCUAGAACCCGAGAUAAUAUGCAAGGGCAGAGCUAGAGGAUUUUUAAAAGGGAGGUCAAAUAAAAAGAGACAUUAAACCGUUAAAGAGAACUUUAUAUAUAAUUUAAUUAUCACUCAUCUAAAAGAUUAAAUAAAAUUCAAAAGAUAUUGGACAUAAAAAAAUACAAAUUAACAGUAAUGAUGACAUCAUUUAUAUAUCUGUCUGAAUAGAACUAUAAAAGGAAUCUCUCCCACUCUUUGCAGGCAAGAGUGGAAGAGAAAACAAUUUUUCACACUCAAAUGAACUGUCUUUUUAUUUUUUAUGUUCUAGCUCUUCUCUUAUUUUUUACCUUUUAAAUUGUUAAUUAACAUAUUGAGUUAUUGGAUUGAACUUUUGAGAUAUAAUAUGUUAUGAUAGGAUAUUAAGUUAGACUGUUAAGAUAUAAUAUAUUAUGAUAGGCUUAGAUUUAUAUUAAAACUUAAUGGGUUUGGAUUAGUAUACUCACAUUUAUUUUUUUUAAAAUUUGAUAGGCUUAACAUAUUAGUUUAGAAUUUAUUUGUUGUGCUUAAUCAGUAAUAUGCUAACCAUAAUGAUUCUAAUUUUAUCAAACAAUUUGAAGAAUAAAACUAAUUAUUAAAUAAAAAAUAUUUUGAGAGCCUUUAAAAAUAUAUAUAAUAAAUAAAAUUGUAUUGAAAGAAAUACAAUUAUUUAAUUCUAUCAAUUUAUAUGUAUAUUCUUGUUACUUAAAGUUUGCAACGUACAUGCUAGAAUGCAUUGGUUAUUCUGAAUAAAAAAUGAUAUAUUAAUUAAAUUCUAAGUAACAGUGUAAUAUUGUAACUUAUAUUUAAAAUUUAUAUUAUAAUUUAUUUAUUUUUAAAGAUUAAAAUCAUAAAAAAUAAAAUCCACAUAACAAAAAAUGAAGAACAUGACAAGUAGAAAAUAAAAUCUAUAUAUAACAUAACAAAAAAGAAAGAACAAGAAUAGGAUUGAUUGUUCGUAGAAAUUUGUGAAAGAAAAUCUAUAAAGAUUUAGAACAUAUGAGUAAAUAAAAUACAAAUAAAUAAAUAAAUAAAUAUAAUAAUAAUAAUAUAAAUUAAAAAAAUUAAAAAAACACUUUAAAACUAAGUCAAGUAUAUGAAUUAUGUGGUUAUUCUUUAUUUGUAUUAAUUAUUAAAUAAAAUUAUUUUCAAGGGGCCAUUAAGAAAAUUUAUAAAAAAUUUUAAAAAAUUUAUAUAAUAUGUAAAAAUUUUCAAAAUUUUGGAGGGACCAUCCUACAAGGAGCCUCUGCCCCUGAAAAUCCGGAUGUCACUAAACAAUAAUCAACAAAAAUGGAACAAUUUUUUAUGUUUUUUAAAUUAAGAAGUCCAAUAUCCUAACUCUAUUUUACAAUAUUAGCAAGCACCCUACAAUAUCAUAUACAUCUAAUUUAACGAAAGAAAUCUGAAAGCUUAAACAAUGAAAAAUCAUAUGCACUAGAGAAUUGAUAUUGUGUAAAAAAAUUGACAUUUGAUCAUUAGAUCACUUUUGGAGUAGUAGAAUUUGUUAGUGGUUAAUGUAAUUAAAUUGUGAGUGGUGAUUGUAGUAUAGAUUGAGGUAUCAUCUGAGAUUCAUUUAGAUCCGGUCUAUUAGAGAAUAUCAUUAUUAUGGUAUAAGGUUUUUGUCUUGAUUUUGUAUAUAAAUACUAGGUCAUGAUUAUGGAAUGAAAGUCUGUGAAAAUAAGUGUUUUGAACUAUUGAAAUAUGUGUCAUUAAGAAAAUCUGAUGUGUUAUAAAUGCAUUUAAUAUGAUUUCGUAUUCUGAUAAGAUCAAUUAAUAAUUAUAAGUUUUACAUUGGAAAUCUUGACCAUGGUUUCAAUUUUAAAGAAUAUAAGAAAAUCUAUGAGAUUAAGUGAUGCUUUUGAUUGGUGGUCUUAUGUUUGCUUUUGACACAAAUUUGAGUAGUUGGAGUUUGUAUUGGUCGAUAUUCUGUAUAAAAAGAUUUUUCUUAUGGUACGUAGCUUGGGAUUUUGAUUUUGGAGUUGAUAAUGAUAUAUUUUAUUAAGAAAAGUUUUGAAUACUUUGAUACCUAUUAAGUUUUGUGGAGUAUUUAAUUGUUAUAUGAUAAUCGGUUCUUGAAAUCGAAAAAAAUAAUAUAUAAAUUUUAGAGAUGGCUUCGACAGUCAAGGAUUAUGUUUGAAUUUGUAGGAAAAAAAAAGAGAGAAAAACUUAUCAAUUUGAUGUAGUACAUUGGUUUGAUGUUUGUCAUUGGUUCAUGAUGGUUAAGUUAAUAAGGAGUAUUUUUAAAACUUAUGAAUGUAAUGUAUUAUGUCAGCAUGAUCUUAUCACAGUUUAAUGAUGGUUAAAUUGUUGAAAAGUACUUUGCUAGCUAAUUAAAGGGAAAUGAAAUUAAUAUGUGAUAUUUUGAGGUGACUAGGGGAUUUCUUAAUGUUGCUAUUCAUAUUUGAGGUGGUAUGUGGUUCUAAUUACUUGAUAUGAAUUGAGAAUUUUUUUUGGAAGAGAUUCUUAGACUUGUGACUAUAGUUGUGUAAGAUAAUGUUAUGAAAAUAUAUAUGCUAUUCUAAGGUUGUAUUGAAUGAAAUAUCAGAGUGUGCAGUGGAAGCAUGAUUUGGUAAAAAUAAGGAUUAUUUUUAACUUAGCAAAUGAUGGAUCUACAAUACAAAUGGAUAUCGCUUGAUUAAUUUGUGUACUAAUGGUGUAUGAUUAUUGAUUUUUAUACUGAAGAUAGUUGGAGAACCAAAAUGAGUUACGAUAUUAUGACGUUUUAGUGUGUUGAUCUCAUUAGUAAGGAAGAUUGAUUGAAUAAAGUGGAAUUGCACUAAAGUUAUGUUACAAAGACAAGGUUGAGAUUUAUGUAUUUGCAUACUUUUGAGAUUAUGGAGCUUUAAAAGGAGUUUGAUCUUUUGUGAUUGCAUCUUACUUUGGACAAGAAUUGAGAUUUCAAAUUUUAGGAUGUUUGAUUAGUUAACUAUAUAAGAUGUGGAUUUAUGUUGAAUUGUUAGUGGUUCCUUGAUUAUGUGAAGUUUUAUGAGAUGUUGUUAGAUUGCAAAGAUGAACUCUAUUAGAGGAAGAUUGUAUGUAACAUUUAAUCAAGAGUUAAACAAGACUUGAAGCUUAUGGAAUUUUGAAUUUAGAGACCAAAUUCUUUUAAGUGGGGGAGUAUGUUAUACUCCUAAAAAAUUUUACUUAAUUAAUUUUGUUAUAAAAAAAUGUAAUCACUAAGUUAUAAUCUAUUUUAAAUAAAUAAAUAUAAUAUAAGUUCAAUUUUUUUUUAUAUUAUUACAUAUAUAACUUUGGGCUUUAUUAAUAAAGGUGGAGAAGAAGAAGGGGUCUUUAAACAAAUAAAAUAGUUUUGUUAGUGUCAAAUAAAAUUAUUACAUGUUUAAAUAAAGGCAGUUUACACGUUCUUCGCCUCUAGUUCCACAAAUUUUCCAUACUAUUGGACCCUGCUAGAAUCAAAGGGCGACGUCAAAUUAAACAAACUAUCAAUUAAAAUAAAAAUGGUAACGUUUUUCUGCUAGAACUAUUUUGUUAUGGAAACCUUAUCAUCAGCAAAUUUGAUCCAAAACCUGGCGAUGGCUCUCUCAUAUGGAUCACAUGGCAGCAAGGAAUUCUGGGGCCAUAUCUCUUCAAUGUAUUCAAGAAUAACCGAGGACUCGCAAAUCGGUUUUCCACUAUGAAUUAGCACGGGUAUCUUCUUGUGAACCGGGUUACAUUGGAGAAGCAAAGGACUCUUAUUGGAGAGAUCUUCUUCUAUGUAUUCAUAUGCUAUGCCUUCCAGUUUCAGAGCCCAAAUGACCCUGUAACUGUAAGGACUCAGCCACAUUCCAAGCAGUUGCACUUGUUCCAUGUUUGAGAGAUCAAUCAGAAUGGGCAAUGGCCUUGCGCAUCUCUAGCUAGUCAAAUUUUAUAGUAAUCAAAGAAUCGGCAGGUGCUACAUUCCAAGACAAAAUCGAACAAACAAAAAUGGUUUUAUACAAUUGUUGUAGUCGAAAUCGAGAAUGUUCAUUUGUGAUUAGCUGGAAAUUCCAGGGUCAUUUUCUCUUAUGAGGUAGAAUUAUGAGGUAUAUGCCUUGAACGAAUCACAGCACCCUAUUAGUGUCCAAAAACGGAUAAAGGGAAUUGGUUAGUCAAUUAUUGGAUGAUUUUCCCUUCAAUUAGUCACUGAGAUCCCAACUGAGCUGCUUUGUUUGGGAUUUCUGGUGCUCCAAAAGGUUUAAUCUACAAAGUAGGUAGUGAGAUAGAAGAUGCAAUCAUAAAAAAUGCUCCAUUUGCAAUUGAAAUAUUUCAGAAGGUUGAAAAUUUCAAAAUGAUUUCAGAAUAAUUUAAAGCAACAAGCCACAAUAGUGUAAUUGUAGCCGUAGCUAUAACGGAUAAAUAAACUGGGACUGCUGCCAUUGUAUCUCAGAGAUUAAUAUACUGUUACAUUACUUAUAGAUGUAGAUGGUAAGAAAACUCAAUCCUUGUACAUCAUUGUCUAAUGUACUAUUAUUCUUAAACUAAUAAAAACCAGCCUUAACCAACAUGAAAAUUAAACAGAGAACUGAUUAAAGUAGUUCUUCCUCACAACAUAAAUGCGUAAUACAAACUGCUAUUACUAGCUAAUUUACUUUCGUCUGACUAUGAUGAGGUGAUGUCUUGUAUAAUUCUCUUCUCGUUUUAAAGAAAUCUAUGACUCUGUUGUGAUCUGGGACAUUGUCUUUGAUUACAGGUUCUUCACUGAAAUUCUUCAUCCAUGCAUGCAGGCGAGGGAAGGUAUCGGCUUUGAUAAACUUGAUUCCAGCUACCUCUUCCAUAGGCACCAAGAUAUGAAGAGCCCAUCCAAAGACAAGAUCAGUUAAUCCAAGUUUGUCACCACCAAAGAACUUCUUGUCUCCAAGCCCAUGUUCCUCUAUUGUUUUCAAAAUUUCAAGGUUGUCCUUGACCGCCUUUUCCUGUUCUUCCCCAAAUUUAUGAAAGAAUUCCCACAUAGUUCGAGUCUGCAAAAAUAUAAUCAUAAGACUAACUAGGAUCAAAUAUCAAUCCUGGAUUGAAACAGGCAUGAACCUAUUUUUGAAAACAAAAUAGAAUAAAAGCAUUUGUGAUUGGAAAAAUAGUGAGAUCAAUUAAAGAUUGAGGACAAAAAUGAUGAAACACUUAGGAGUUGAGUUAUGACUAUUAUGAGAUAGAGUACCAACUCUUUUGACUAAACUGCUCACUUGUGACUAGUUUUGAAAAACAAAAUCCGGAUAACAUAUACC